CUCGCCGCUGUAUUUAAGACAGAGAAGUAAAAAUGUUGAGGCGAGUGAUCGGUAACAUCGCCGUCCGGCGUCAGCUUCAACGAGCUCUAUCCAGUAAAGCCGGUGGAGGAAGUGGAAAGCCAAGCGACGUUUCAGCUGCGGAGGACUCUAUGCUCCUCCGUUCCCUAAAGGAACAUUACCUCGAAGUCUCCAAGAUGACUCCUCUGUUCCUCUUCUAAAGAUUGAACCUUUUGGUUAAAAUCCAGCGCCUUCCUUCACCGUUGGAGAUUAUGAAAGGAUCCCUUGAGGGAACUGGCGCCGUUCUGAAGAAAUCUGUUGGAAAAGAAGAGAUCAGUCUCUUUGUGAUGCGGUUUGCUCAUGGAGGUGAUGAUGAUGGGAUUAACCACCUGUUCCUCCACGUUGGGGAUUCACUCUGUUUCCAUGAGGCCGAAGCUCGAGGAUUUGGAGUUGUCUGAUGAUCCUGCUCGUUACACUGGCCCUUCUUUCGAGGAGCUGGAUGAGAAGAUGAGAGAUGUAUUCCAUAGCUUCCUAGAGGAGCGAGGUGUGAACGAGAGUCUCUUCCCGUUUCUUCAAGCGUUGCUUUAUGUUAAGGAUCAUCGCAAGUUCGCAAUUUGCUGCGGUGGUUCAAAUCAGUUGGCACUUAUCUUUUCAGUCUGUUGGAAAGUGAUAGUGAAGAAGACAUUCUUGAGGAAGGUGAUGAUGAUGAUGAUUUGGAGGAAGAGCAUGAGACGCAAGUUCAUCCAGAAGCAGAGCCUGAGGUGAAGUAA